GACGUAGGGGGCGAGCGUUGUCCGGAUUCAUUGGGCGUAAAGAGCGUGUAGGCGGCCAGGUAGGUCGGUUGUGAAAACUGGAGGCUCAACCUUCAGAGGUCGACCGAAACCAUCUGGCUAGAGUCCGGGAGAGGAGAGUGGAAUUCCUGGUGUAGCGGUGAAAUGCGCAGAUAUCAGGAAGAACACCUAUGGCGAAGGCAGCUCUCUGGGACGGUACUGACGCUGAGACGCGAAAGCGUGGGGAGCGAACAGG
rnacentral:rRNA from 1 species